rnacentral:ncRNA from 14 species
GCCUCGGUGGCUCAGCCUGGUAGAGCGCCUGACUUGUAAUCAGGUGGUCGGGGGUUCGAAUCCCCCCCGAGGCU